rnacentral:rRNA from 1 species
CCUACGGGAGGCAGCAGUUAGGAAUAUUGGACAAUGGGGGCAACCCUGAUCCAGCCAUGCCGCGUGUGUGAAGAAGGCCUUAGGGUUGUAAAGCACUUUCAGCUGUGAAGAUAAUGACAGUAGCAGAAGAAGAAGCUCCGGCUAAAUUCGUGCCAGCAGCCGCGGUAAUACGAAUGGAGCGAGCGUUGUUCGGAAUCACUGGGCGUAAAGGGUGCGCAGGCGGUCAUGAAAGUUAGAAGUGAAAUCCCAGGGCUUAACCCUGGAAUGGCUUUUAAAACUCCAUGACUAGAGUACUGGAGAGGUUGGCGGAAUUCCGAGUGUAGAGGUGAAAUUCGCAGAUAUUCGGAGGAACACCAAUGGCGUAGGCAGCCAACUGGACAGUAACUGACGCUCAUGCACGAAAGCGUGGGGAUCAAACAGGAUUAGAUACCCUGGUAGUCCACGCCCUAAACGAUGUGUGCUAGUUGUCGGGUUCUUAGAACUCGGUGACGCAGCUAACGCUUUAAGCACACCGCCUGGGGAGUACGGUCGCAAGAUUAAACUUAAAUGAAUUGACGG